GAUUUAAAUGGCAACAAAAACUAUCUGUCACUUCCAUAUGAUUCAAAUUCAAAACAUUAAACAACUUUCAAGAAAUCACAGAGGAAAUAAAAUAUGAUGAGUGAACAAAUACCAAAAAAAAAACAACGAAAAACUUUUGCAGCGGAGGAUGAAACGUAUUUGUUGGAGUUUUGGGCCGACAAACAGGCUUACUUGAUUGGCUAGGAAAUAACUCUCACGUUUUCAAGGAAAUGGCAGAGACUCCAGAGGAAAUAAAAGUGAAAAUUCACUACUUAACGAAUCGGUAUAGAAAGGAAAAGAAAUUGGUGGGCCCUUCUGGAGGUUCUCCAUCUCAAUGGGGUCUGUAUUUACAAAAAAAAAAAUGCAAUACUGGAAGAAACACCAGUGAGUAAUGUGGAAAAUCUACAAGAGGACAGCAUUAUGGCCAAAACAAUAUAACUACUCAAAAAAAACGGUUUGUUAAAAUGUAUUAUGUAUUUCAGAAUCAAUUUAUUCCACUCAACAGUCAUCUCAAGACUCAUAGUCUUACCAAUUUCAAAUUGUUGAGAAGAAUAAAUUGACGAGAUACUAAAAGUUUUAAGUUACCGACACUCAUUCUUUUUUAAAGAAAUU